rnacentral:rRNA from 1 species
AUUGAACGCUGGCGGCAGGCUUAACACAUGCAAGUCGAACGAGUGGCGGACGGGUGAGUAAUGUCUGGGAAACUGCCUGAUGGAGGGGGAUAACUACUGGAAACGGUAGCUAAUACCGCAUACCAUACGAUGUGCCCAGAUGGGAUUAGCUAGUUGGUGGGGUAAUGGCUCACCAAGGCGACGAUCCCUAGCUGGUCUGAGAGGAUGACCAGCCACACUGGGACUGAGACACGGUCCAGACUCCUACGGGAGGCAGCAGUGGGGAAUAUUGCACAAUGGGCGCAAUCCUGAUGCAGCCAUGCCGCGUGUGUGAAGAAGGCCUUCGGGUUGUAAAGCACUUUCGGUGGGGAGGCGUUACUCACAGAAGAAGCACCGGCUAACUCCGUGCCAGCAGCCGCGGUAAUAC